UGCUCAACUCUCCGGGGACACGGAGACCAGUGAAAGAAGCGCAAAAGUACGGUGAGGACUCUCAGAAAUCGCAUUCCCCCGGGACACCCGGCCCACGCUCGUCGGUCACUACGCUAUCAGCCUCCGCGCUCUCGGACUCCAGCAGCCCCGACACGCCGCCCAGGAGAGGGCCGGGCAGGCCGAGCACCCCGGCCCGCGCUCCCGCCACCAGCGCACCCAUGAUGUACUCACGGAGAGGGGUACGCAGAACCGCCCGUCCCGCCGGAGCCGACACCCGGAGCAGUGCAAAUCAACUCCCCCAGCCUAGCGGCGCGUGCGCGAAGGCGGACAGCGCGCCGCCUGCUGACGUCAGCGCCUGCCUACGCCGCCGUUCCCAUGGCGACCGAUGCGUCCCGCGCUCUAGGCGAAGACCGCGGCCCCGUCCCCGCGCCUCCACCGCCUUCUUCCAGGAGGAGGGGCCGUGCGGCGCCUGCCCGGGGGCCCUCAGGCCGCAGGCGGGCGCGAGCUUCAGGGAACUUAGGGGGCUCCCGCCUCCCCGGCCACGCGAGCGGGAACAGUCUCCUCCACUCGGAGCGGCGCCAUCUUCAGCUCUGAGUCACCAGGGCUGGAAAAAUACUAGAUGCGCUACUCGUGGACUCGUGAAUACACUCGUGAAUACAGGCCAUUUCCUGUACCUACAGCCACCCGCUGCACUCAUCAUGCCUUACCUGGAUGAUGCAGAAGUCCCUGGAAACAGAAGGUCUCACCCUUCUUUAUCUUUCUCAUGGCUUUCCAAGGCUCUUUAUCAUGUUACUUUCCUGCUCAGAAUUCUUUAAUGACUUGCCUCAAUGACCAGAUACAUGUGAUCUACAGUCAGCCUUCCAGCCUCAUCAUUCCUCUUCCAUUUCCUCCCCAGAAACACUGUACUUUAUGAAGCUCCUCCAAGACGGCUCUCUCAGCAGCUGGGACCCGGUCUUGGAAUCUUAGUGUCAACUAUGAUGAAUCACCAACACUAACAAAAACAUUAUCUUUUAUUGGGUUAAAUAGUUUCUACUCUUCCCAAGACUGGGAACUGAUGUAACAGGCUUCGUGCUUUCUUCCCAACAAAUUGAUUCUGUGUGGUCAGCUCCUGUCAUGAUGAUAGAACCCCCUGUAUUGAUUUAUACUUAGGGGUAUAUCAAUGUCAGUCUAAACUUGUCCUACCUAC
rnacentral:lncRNA from 1 species